AUGCGGAUCUCGAAAGCCUGUCCCAGUUCGGACUGGAGUCUGCAACCCGACUCCACGAAGUUGGAUUCGCUAGUAAUCGCGCAUCAGCCAUGGCGCGGUGAAUACGUUCCCGGGCCUUGUACACACCGCCCGUCAAGCCAUGGGAGCCGGGGGCGCCUGAAGUCCGGGACCGCGAGGACCGGCCUAGGGCGAAACUGGUAACUGGGGCUAAGUCGUAACAAGGUACC
rnacentral:rRNA from 1 species